GGGUUGUGAGGUUAAGCGACUAAGCGUACACGGUGGAUGCCCUGGCAGUCAGAGGCGAUGAAGGACGUGCUAAUCUGCGAUAAGCGUCGGUAAGGUGAUAUGAACCGUUAUAACCGGCGAUUUCCGAAUGGGGAAACCCAGUGUGAUUCGUCACACUAUCAUUAACUGAAUCCAUAGGUUAAUGAGGCGAACCGGGGGAACUGAAACAUCUAAGUACCCCGAGGAAAAGAAAUCAACCGAGAUUCCCCCAGUAGCGGCGAGCGAACGGGGAGCAGCCCAGAGCCUGAAUCAGUGUGUGUGUUAGUGGAAGCGUCUGGAAAGGCGCGCGAUACAGGGUGACAGCCCCGUACACAAAAAUGCACAUGCUGUGAGCUCGAUGAGUAGGGCGGGACACGUGGUAUCCUGUCUGAAUAUGGGGGGACCAUCCUCCAAGGCUAAAUACUCCUGACUGACCGAUAGUGAACCAGUACCGUGAGGGAAAGGCGAAAAGAACCCCGGCGAGGGGAGUGAAAAAGAACCUGAAACCGUGUACGUACAAGCAGUGGGAGCACGCUUAGGCGUGUGACUGCGUACCUUUUGUAUAAUGGGUCAGCGACUUAUAUUCUGUAGCAAGGUUAACCGAAUAGGGGAGCCGAAGGGAAACCGAGUCUUAACUGGGCGUUAAGUUGCAGGGUAUAGACCCGAAACCCGGUGAUCUAGCCAUGGGCAGGUUGAAGGUUGGGUAACACUAACUGGAGGACCGAACCGACUAAUGUUGAAAAAUUAGCGGAUGACUUGUGGCUGGGGGUGAAAGGCCAAUCAAACCGGGAGAUAGCUGGUUCUCCCCGAAAGCUAUUUAGGUAGCGCCUCGUGAAUUCAUCUCCGGGGGUAGAGCACUGUUUCGGCAAGGGGGUCAUCCCGACUUACCAACCCGAUGCAAACUGCGAAUACCGGAGAAUGUUAUCACGGGAGACACACGGCGGGUGCUAACGUCCGUCGUGAAGAGGGAAACAACCCAGACCGCCAGCUAAGGUCCCAAAGUCAUGGUUAAGUGGGAAACGAUGUGGGAAGGCCCAGACAGCCAGGAUGUUGGCUUAGAAGCAGCCAUCAUUUAAAGAAAGCGUAAUAGCUCACUGGUCGAGUCGGCCUGCGCGGAAGAUGUAACGGGGCUAAACCAUGCACCGAAGCUGCGGCAGCGACGCUUAUGCGUUGUUGGGUAGGGGAGCGUUCUGUAAGCCUGUGAAGGUGUGCUGUGAGGCAUGCUGGAGGUAUCAGAAGUGCGAAUGCUGACAUAAGUAACGAUAAAGCGGGUGAAAAGCCCGCUCGCCGGAAGACCAAGGGUUCCUGUCCAACGUUAAUCGGGGCAGGGUGAGUCGACCCCUAAGGCGAGGCCGAAAGGCGUAGUCGAUGGGAAACAGGUUAAUAUUCCUGUACUUGGUGUUACUGCGAAGGGGGGACGGAGAAGGCUAUGUUGGCCGGGCGACGGUUGUCCCGGUUUAAGCGUGUAGGCUGGUUUUCCAGGCAAAUCCGGAAAAUCAAGGCUGAGGCGUGAUGACGAGGCACUACGGUGCUGAAGCAACAAAUGCCCUGCUUCCAGGAAAAGCCUCUAAGCAUCAGGUAACAUCAAAUCGUACCCCAAACCGACACAGGUGGUCAGGUAGAGAAUACCAAGGCGCUUGAGAGAACUCGGGUGAAGGAACUAGGCAAAAUGGUGCCGUAACUUCGGGAGAAGGCUCGCUGAUAUGUAGGUGAAGUCCCUCGCGGAUGGAGCUGAAAUCAGUCGAAGAUACCAGCUGGCUGCAACUGUUUAUUAAAAACACAGCACUGUGCAAACACGAAAGUGGACGUAUACGGUGUGACGCCUGCCCGGUGCCGGAAGGUUAAUUGAUGGGGUCAGCGCAAGCGAAGCUCUUGAUCGAAGCCCCGGUAAACGGCGGCCGUAACUAUAACGGUCCUAAGGUAGCGAAAUUCCUUGUCGGGUAAGUUCCGACCUGCACGAAUGGCGUAAUGAUGGCCAGGCUGUCUCCACCCGAGACUCAGUGAAAUUGAACUCGCUGUGAAGAUGCAGUGUACCCGCGGCAAGACGGAAAGACCCCGUGAACCUUUACUAUAGCUUGACACUGAACAUUGAGCCUUGAUGUGUAGGAUAGGUGGGAGGCUUAGAAGUGUGGACGCCAGUCUGCAUGGAGCCGACCUUGAAAUACCACCCUUUAAUGUUUGAUGUUCUAACGUUGACCCGUGAUCCGGGUUGCGGACAGUGUCUGGUGGGUAGUUUGACUGGGGCGGUCUCCUCCUAAAGAGUAACGGAGGAGCACGAAGGUUGGCUAAUCCUGGUCGGACAUCAGGAGGUUAGUGCAAUGGCAUAAGCCAGCUUGACUGCGAGCGUGACGGCGCGAGCAGGUGCGAAAGCAGGUCAUAGUGAUCCGGUGGUUCUGAAUGGAAGGGCCAUCGCUCAACGGAUAAAAGGUACUCCGGGGAUAACAGGCUGAUACCGCCCAAGAGUUCAUAUCGACGGCGGUGUUUGGCACCUCGAUGUCGGCUCAUCACAUCCUGGGGCUGAAGUAGGUCCCAAGGGUAUGGCUGUUCGCCAUUUAAAGUGGUACGCGAGCUGGGUUUAGAACGUCGUGAGACAGUUCGGUCCCUAUCUGCCGUGGGCGCUGGAGAACUGAGGGGGGCUGCUCCUAGUACGAGAGGACCGGAGUGGAUGCAUCACUGGUGUUCGGGUUGUCAUGCCAAUGGCACUGCCCGGUAGCUAAAUGCGGAAGAGAUAAGUGCUGAAAGCAUCUAAGCACGAAACUUGCCCCGAGAUGAGUUCUCCCUGACCCUUUAAGGGUCCUGAAGGAACGUUGAAGACGACGACGUUGAUAGGCCGGGUGUGUAAGCGCAGCGAUGCGUUGAGCUAACCGGUACUAAUGAACCGUGAGGCUUAACCUUACAACGCCGAAGGUGUUU
rnacentral:rRNA from 1 species